UACGAGGGGGGCAAAUGUUGUUCGGAAUCACUGGGCGUAAAGGGAGCGUAGGCGGGUUCUUAAGUUAGGUGUUUAAUCCCGGGGCCCAACCCCGGACCGGCACUUAAAACUGGGAAUCUUGAAUAGUGGAGAGGUCGGUGGAAUUGGAGGUGUAGCGGUGGAAUGCGUAGAGAUCUCCAAGAACACCAGUCGCGAAGGCGGCCGACUGGACACAUAUUGACGCUGAGGCUCGAAAGCAUGGGGAGCAAACAGG
rnacentral:rRNA from 1 species